CUAAAGGCUACCGUCUCAGCUUUGCAGGUGUAUUAUGAGAUUGGCUGGCAGCUAUUUCUGAUCAAGUUCUGCAGCUGGCAGGAAAGCAGAGGUGCCACGAAGAUCUGUGUGCUAGUCCUCUUUGUUUCUACCUGACUCACCAGGCAGUCAAGCCAUGUUGAUUUUACCACUGUUCCCUGGGAAGUCAGUCCUGACUGGGCUAUCUGAGAAUGCUAGGGAAGCUGGAUUCAGUUUUUGUUUUUCUUUCUCUCUAAAAAAAUAAAACUGAGUUAAGGAAAACUCUCUCUGUCUGGCACCAUGCCUGCUUGUUUGGAGUGAGACCAUUCCUCCUACCCUUUGAAAUUCAGAUUGUGUUUCAUUCUGCUUGCCAUAUGAGUAUCUCAGGAUUAUUUCCAGAUGUUGGAGUUUUUAAAAGGAUGUUCUAUUCUAUGGAUAGUUACUAGUUGUUGGUGAGUUGGGCCCAAGACUUCUUACUCUAGAAUCUUGCUGAUGGCACUCCCAUAGAAGAAGUCAUUUUAUUUACACAAGCACAUUACAUGAAACCAUUGGUGGAUGAGAUCAAAAUGUGAUCUGAAUGUACCAAGUAAUACAAAAGCUGAUAUGAACCUGAAUUCUUCCCAAAGGAAGAAAACUGCAAAUGCCAGAGCCCCAAUUUAGGUCUAUAUUUUUUUCUAAUUUGUCCACCAACAUUUCUCCAAAAAUGAAGAUGUUCUCAUUUUCUCCACAUCCUUCUCAUUAUCUACUUGCAGCUCUCCAAUGAUUAUUAUUAUACUAACCUGUUCAUGGAAAUGCUUUCAUCUAUUUUUUUCUAAUGGAAGCAUACUCACAUUUUUCCAUUUAUUUUUUUCCACUUUCAUCCAAGACAUAAGUUAUCCACCCUCUCCCACAUUCCAUUUUCAAUAUUUGACCUUAAAUAUCUCCACUUGUCAAGAUGACUGACAGCUAACACUAAGACAUCAGGUGCAAUACUGAAAUUUUUUUCUUAAGAAAAAGAUCUGGAAAAAUCUUACUAUACCUUUGAAUAUUUCUGUGUCUUUGAAUAUUCUUUGCCUUAACUCCCUGCAGGACUAGAAACUCCUAACUCUCCAAAUUUCCAUAUAAAAUGUGCAUUCUCAAGAUUGUGAACAUUAAGCAGAAUAUAUACUUUAUAAUUUGACCUCUGUUAUUUAGGGAAGUGUUCACAUUUUUAAAUAUGUAAAAUCAAGUGGAAAUGUGAAUGCAAGUCUAUACCAACACUAAUAAAAUAUUUCUUAUUCUCAAUACAAAAUUUCUCAACUUUUUUUCUGGAAACUGUUCUUUGGAAACCUUACCCUAAGCCCUCAAUCCUUUUUUUUUUUUUUUGAAAAAAAAUUUAAUACAAGACCAAAAAAAUUUAAUACAAGACCCUGGCUUCACUUAAAGUUACUUAAUGCCAGGAAAAUAAUGGAAUGCCUUUGUUGUUCCAAACUUUCUACAUAAGGAAAGUAUAAAAUGCAUCUUGUGUUUCCUACCUAAUUGAAAGGUGCUUUUGAAAUUAACUCUUGACAAUUAAAACUUUUAAACUUUAAUAUUCAGAAUUAAAAAAUAAGAAUAUAGUGACAUGUAAACUCAUUGUUCAUAGAAUGGUAAAUUAAUUGUAACUGACCCAAACCAAUAACAUAUAUCUAACAAACUGAACAAUAUUAGCAGCUGAGUUAAAUCAAAUGUAAAAUGUUUUUCUUUAAA
rnacentral:lncRNA from 1 species